UAGCAGACUAGUUGACUUAGGGCUUUGUGUCUCCUGCUUACGCAGUUUUAAGGAGAUGAAGACCAAAGAGAGAAUCAUCGAGGGAUAGUUCUAUAGUCUACGACUCUUUCACCAAAUUCUCUUCAUUUUUCACAAGUUUUAUUGCUCUUUCCACUUUUUAAUCCCUUUUUGUUUUCUUUUCUUGUAAAAGUUAUUCUUUGUUCAUAUCACAGAGGUUUUUGGUCGGCUAGAUUUCUGUUCUUGUAAAGUUCUUUUAAAGGCGAACGCCGCAUCUUGUCAAAAUAAACUUAAAAGGGUUUUGUGCGCUAUCUUUAAUUUUUUUCCAGAUUUAUUUACCAACAUAUUUUCUAGGGAAGUUUUCAGAUCUAGUCUUUAGAUCUCUCCAAAAUAUCUUUAAGAAACCAUUUGUUGGCUUUGGAUUCAUAUCCAAGAAGAUGGUGAGAGGGAAGAUCGAAAUCAAAAGAAUCGAGGACAUGACUAGCAGACAAGUCACGUUCUCCAAGCGUAGGAAAGGUCUCCUGAAGAAGGCUCACGAGCUUUCAGUUUUAUGUGAUGCUCAAGUAGCCGCCAUCGUCUUCUCUCAGACAGGAAGAUUAUAUGAUUUCGCUAGCUCCGAGUAAGUACCUAUCACUUAUGAACCUUUUGAUCCAACACUCAUUUGUAUAUAUAUACACCAUUAUUUGUGAUGUUAAGCUCUUAAUUAAUUAGGUAAGAUUGUUUGUACUAGCUGGAGAUUUCUAAACAUGUAGUUGAGUUUAAUUUCCCCCAAAAUAUUCCCUAUGAAAUUGCUUUGAUUUUCUUUAAUUAGGCAUAUCUAUCUAUACUAUUAAAGCAGAAUCCCUCAUAGGAUUCUGCCCCUGUUUUUUCAACUUAAUUACAACCAAAUGCCACUGCCAUUUUCUUCCUUUUUUUAAAUGAAAAUCGUCCAUUAUAAUUGGCCAACCAGAACCACCUAUUUUUAAGCCCAUUCACGACAACUUUUACACAAAAACUGAUUCGAACAUUCAUUUAUACCAACUCAAUCUGUUUAAACUCAUUUGGAAUAUAACAUAACCCACUAAAAAUUUACCCAAUUCGAUACCCUAAAAUUUAAGGUUUGCGAGAUAAAACUCAGAAAAAACCUGUAUCUAAUACCAUAAGACUUGAAAUUUUCGAUUUAUGAAUUUGACAAAAUAUAGUAUUUACAUUUUAGUACCACUUGAAUGAAGAACCAAUUAAAAUAUUGAAUGUGAACCAAAAAAAUAACAAUCUAUUAACAUUUUAUCAAUUAGUGGAUUUAUAAAGAAUAAGAAUGUAUUUUUAAUUGAGUUAUAGAUUAACCCAUUCACUUUUAUUCCAUUAUUGAAAUCGAUUCAAUAGAUGUUAAGGAAUAUUCUGUGUUUUAACUACUUGGUCACUAAUAAAUAUUUUUUUUUCUAAUAAAGAAAGGAUUUCUAAAGAUUAUAAAAGUUACCUAAUAUCACGGUGCAUGAUAUCCAACUAAUUAUAUUAACGUGGCCAACACCCACCGAUUAUAUUGGAGCUUUCAAAUGGUACCCAUAUUUACAAUAAAUGAUAGCGAUAAUAUAGAUAUUAUAGCGAUAAUAUAGAUAUUAUAGUUUAGAAAAAUCUAGUGGGAUACGAUUUGGAGUAUGCCCCAAGGUUUCCCAAUAACCUAAGCACCUCUCCCUUUAACCUCUUCAUAUUAUAAAUACCGUAGACCCCUUCCUAUUGAAACCACUACCGUCAAAAACACUGCCCUUAAAGAAACCUACUGCUUGCAGCAAAACAUAACCUAAGCAAAUCCAAACAUUGGAAGCUUCUAAUGAAAUAGUGACAGGCAUCAAAUAUUUGAGGUCCUAGAAGAUUACUUGGUUUGUUCAUGUGAAGGUUCUACACUCUUGGAAACAAAACAUAACAGGGAAAACCAUGUAAUUUGUAUUGGCUGAUGAGAAUAUUUGCUGGGACAGGUAUUGAACUGUGGUGAGGUCGAGAUGAUCCAAUGUAUUCGGGAGAAGCGACGGAAGAAGCUUGAGUUCACCCUACACGACAUCCAAUAAGUUUGGUAGCAUCUUUAACCCAC